rnacentral:tRNA from 1 species
AGUGACACCGUCAACUACACCUGCAAACUGUCUUGUAAACAGCAGGUCGUCGGUUCGAAUCCGACAGGGG